ACUCCUGCGGGAGGCAGCAGUGGGGAAUUUUGGACAAUGGGCGAAAGCCUGAUCCAGCAAUGCCGCGUGUGUGAAGAAGGCCUUCGGGUUGUAAAGCACUUUUGUCCGGAAAGAAAUCCUUGGCUCUAAUACAGUCGGGGGAUGACGGUACCGGAAGAAUAAGCACCGGCUAACUACGUGUCAGCAGCCGCGGUAAUACGUAGGGUGCGAGCGUUAAUCGGAAUUACUGGGCGUAAAGCGUGCGCAGGCGGUUUGCUAAGACCGAUGUGAAAUCCCCGGGCUCAACCUGGGAACUGCAUUGGUGACUGGCAGGCUAGAGUAUGGCAGAGGGGGGUAGAAUUCCACGUGUAGCAGUGAAAUGCGUAGAGAUGUGGAGGAAUACCGAUGGCGAAGGCAGCCCCCUGGGCCAAUACUGACGCUCAUGCACGAAAGCGUGGGGAGCAAACAGGAUUAGAUACCCGUGUAGUCCCA
rnacentral:rRNA from 1 species